rnacentral:rRNA from 1 species
UACGUAGGGGGCUAGCGUUGUCCGGAAUCAUUGGGCGUAAAGAGCGUGUAGGCGGUCCGGUAAGUCCGCUGUGAAGGUCGGGGGCUCAACCCUCGAAUGCCGGUGGAUACUGUCGGGCUAGAGUGCGGAAGAGGCGAGUGGAAUUCCUGGUGUAGCGGUGAAAUGCGCAGAUAUCAGGAGGAACACCUAUUGCGAAGGCAGCUCGCUGGGACGUUACUGACGCUGAGACGCGAAAGCAUGGGGAGCGAACAGG